CUCAAUCUCGUAUAUGUUGGCUAGCUGAUUGGAAUUUACACAAAUAUAAAGAAAAACUAUUGAAAAUAAAAAUAGAUAAGUAAACUCCCUAAUAUGUCCAUAUUUUUAUCUAACGAUGAGUUAAAGUUGGAGUACAUUAAACAAUUAAAUAGGGAUAUAAUAGUGAAUGAGUAAAAAAAAAUUAUUAUGAAAAUAAGUUCAUAUAAAUGAAACAUACAAAAAAGAAAAAUAAGCCUAUAUAUACGAAACAAAUGGACUAUAUAAACAGAACCUUCGUACAAAGAAGAAGAAAAACGUUAAUUACACAUCCCCGAAAAAAGCAUUAACAAAGAAAACACCAUUCAAUGAAGAGUUUAAUAGAAAACAACAGCAAC
rnacentral:lncRNA from 1 species